rnacentral:rRNA from 1 species
GACGAACGCUGGCGGCGUGCCUAACACAUGCAAGUCGAACGGACGUAUUUCUUCGGAGAUACGUUAGUGGCGAACGGGUGAGUAACGCGUGAGAAACCUGCCUUUCAGUGGGGGACAACAGUUGGAAACGACUGCUAAUACCGCAUAAUGUUAUUUGGGGGCAUCCCUGAAUAACCAAAGCUUUAUGUGCUGAAAGAUGGUCUCGCGUCUGAUUAGCUGGAUGGCGGGGUAACGGCCCACCAUGGCGACGAUCAGUAGCCGGUCUGAGAGGAUGAACGGCCACAUUGGGACUGAGAUACGGCCCAGAUUCCUACGGGAGGCAGCAGUGGGGAAUAUUGGGCAAUGGGCGCAAGCCUGACCCAGCAACGCCGCGUGAAGGAAGAAGGCUUUCGGGUUGUAAACUUCUUUUGUCAGGGACGAACACAAUGACGGUACCUGACGAAUAAGCCACGGCUAACUACGUG